rnacentral:rRNA from 1 species
GUGGGGAAUAUUGCACAAUGGGGGAAACCCUGAUGCAGCGACGCCGCGUGAGCGAAGAAGGCCUUCGGGUCGUAAAGCUCUGUCCUAAGGGAAGAAACGGACGGUACCUUAGGAGGAAGCCCCGGCUAACUACGUGCCAGCAGCCGCGGUAAUACGUAGGGGGCGAGCGUUAUCCGGAAUUACUGGGCGUAAAGGGUGCGUAGGCGGCCUUUUAAGUCAGAUGUGAAAGGCUACGGCUUAACCGUAGUUAGCAUUUGAAACUAAAAGGCUUGAGUGCAGGAGAGGAGAGUGGAAUUCCUAGUGUAGCGGUGAAAUGCGUAGAUAUUAGGAGGAACACCAGUGGCGAAGGCGACUCUCUGGACUGCAACUGACGCUGAGGCACGAAAGCGUGGGGAGCGAACAGG